UACGUAGGUUGCAGGCGUUAAUCGGAAUUACUGGGCGUAAAGCGUGCGCAGGCGGCUUUGCAAGACAGAUGUGAAAUCCCCGGGCUUAACCUGGGAACUGCAUUUGUGACUGCAUGGCUGGAGUGCGGCAGAAGGGGAUGGAAUUCCGCGUGUAGCAGUGAAAUGCGUAGAUAUGCGGAGGAACACCGAUGGCGAAGGCAGUCCCCUGGGCCUGCACUGACGCUCAUGCACGAAAGCGUGGGGAGCAAACAGG
rnacentral:rRNA from 1 species